rnacentral:rRNA from 1 species
AGUGAACGCUGGCGGUAGGCCUAACACAUGCAAGUCGAACGGCAGCACAGGAGAGCUUGCUCUCUGGGUGGCGAGUGGCGGACGGGUGAGGAAUGCAUCGGAAUCUACUCUUUCGUGGGGGAUAACGUAGGGAAACUUACGCUAAUACCGCAUACGACCUACGGGUGAAAGCCGGGGACCUUCGGGCCUGGCGCGAAAGAAUGAGCCGAUGCCCGAUUAGCUAGUUGGCGGGGUAAGAGCCCACCAAGGCGACGAUCGGUAGCUGGUCUGAGAGGAUGAUCAGCCACACUGGAACUGAGACACGGUCCAGACUCCUACGGGAGGCAGCAGUGGGGAAUAUUGGACAAUGGGCGCAAGCCUGAUCCAGCCAUACCGCGUGGGUGAAGAAGGCCUUCGGGUUGUAAAGCCCUUUUGUUGGGAAAGAAAAGCAGUCGGUUAAUACCCGAUUGUUCUGACGGUACCCAAAGAAUAAGCACCGAAUUACA